CAUAAUGUAAAUAAUAAUGAGGAACGAGAAUGGAGUUUUCGAUCAUGCAUGCACAGGAGAAACAUAUAUAAUUGAAUAUAUUGAUUUCAUGUCAUCCAUGGCAUGGUAGACUUCUAUACAUCACACCAUUCCCUCCCUCCCUCGUCCUUUACUACAACCAUAAAUAAUCGACACAACAAUCUUAUACAUGAAAUUACACUGAUAUUACAUUACUCAAUUCAUUUUUUUCAUGGUGCAUCAACAUGUUUGCUUGGAGUACAUAUUGUUGACCCAAGAGUAUGAUAAUUUAUAUAUCGGCUAGGGGCAGAAGUAGGGUGGAAUCCUUUUGGCAAGCAAUUCUCCACUUCUCUACCAUGGAACUCUCGCUGCCCAUGAUUAGUUUUCGGCUUCAAUGUCUCGUAACGCGAAGAUUUAGAUUCCAAUGGCCGCGUCGCCACCGCAACUCUAGCCAUGGAAUUUGUACCAACAGCAUUGGUGGUGGAGAUAGGAGGAGGAUAAGAUAGAAGAAAGCCAUGGAGAAAAGAGUAGGGCUAGACAUCUUGGACUCUGUUGUUUAGAGUCAGG
rnacentral:lncRNA from 1 species